GGCUUCCCAGAUAAAGUCACUCUUCUUUGGCCCAGCAACUCGCCUCUCAACUUAUUAGCCUGUGGUGUGGCGAGCAGUACAGGCUUGGACUUGGUAACAAAUUCUGAUGAAGCCACCCAGGAGCCUUGGUGCUCGUGGCCUGCCAGCCCUGGCUGGGGAAUUCUGGGGUGAGAGCCUAGCAGCUGCCGGGACCCCUCGUCCUGAGGAUCUGCCCUUCAGAGUUCUCUGAAGCAGCCCCGGCCGCCCCAGCACUUGGCAGUGGAAGGAAGGAAUCGACAUUUGGGACCCGACGGGCUCCGGACGGUAAGGUACAGCAUGGAGAUGGCACUGAGUUCCGUUGGGACACAGCACGCCUUGGGAAUCUUAGAGUUAACUGAGUUGACCAGCAUCUGGACGAUGGCGUGGUUCGUGGAGUUCAGAGGGAAUAGGACCCUUGAAAGAAGAAAAUCACAUUUGUCAGACUUGUCUCCUGAGGGUACAUCUAGUCAGUGUGGCUCAAGGACAAGGGAGCUCCUGCACAAGGUCUCGUUGGGCUGAGGAAUCAAAGCUUUCCUGUAAAGCACUGUCAUCCCGAAGAGAUUACACUUUAGAUGUUGGCAGUGUUUAUCCAGAAUGAUGCAGCAAUAUCACGCGGUCCACUGGAAAGAUCCCCCGUCGCCCCCGGCAACAGCUCACGAAGAAUGAUCAAAUGCUUCCGUGCACACCGUGUUUAUCAUCCCCUGAUGUCCAUGUCCUAGACGGGAAUUUAAGGUGCAUCUAAACAAUGAGGGAGAAGAUCUCUCUUCAGGUCUAAAUGCUGGAUUAAUGUUACAGAACGAUUGAUUUAUGGUCGUUCCUCCUUGUGUGUAGAGGUCUUAAAUA